UGUAAAUGUAUAUACAAUAAAUGGAAUUCAUUUAUUAGGCUCAGUAGGCUGUAUAGAAUUAUAAAAACAUUUUUUUCAAUUUAAUUUGUCACAGCAGUAAGAAACAAUAAUCCCAACGCUGUGUGUUGUAUUAUGAAGCAGGGGUGUAAUAAACAAUAAUCCCAACGCUGUGUGUUGUAUUAUGAAGCAGGGUGUAAGAAACAAUAAUCCCAAAGCUGUGUGUUGUAUUAUGAAGCAGGGUGUAAUAAAAGUUAUUAAGAAGUGGAGAUCAUAUU